UACGUAGGGGGCAAGCGUUGUCCGGAAUUAUUGGGCGUAAAGAGCGUGUAGGCGGUCCGGUAAGUCGGCUGUGAAAGUCCAGGGCUCAACCUCGAGCUGUCGGCGGAAACCCUCUGGCUAGAGUCCGGAAGAGGAGAGUGGAAUUCCCGGUGUAGCGGUGAAAUGCGCAGAUAUCGGGAAGAACACCCGUGGCGAAGGCGGCUCUCUGGGACGGUACUGACGCUGAGACGCGAAAGCGUGGGGAGCGAACAGG
rnacentral:rRNA from 1 species